GGAGGAUCAUUACUAGAGCAAAGGAUAGACAGCGCCCGCGGAGCUCGCUCCCGGGGCUACCCUACUCCCGUAGGGUUUAGAGUCGUCGGGCCUCUCGGAGAAGCUCGGUCCUGAACUCCACCCUUGAAUAAACUACCUUUGUUGCUUUGGCGGGCCGCCUCGUGCCAGCGGCUUCGGCUGUUGAGUGCCCGCCAGAGGACCCCAACUCUUGUUUUUAGUGAUGUCUGAGUACUAUAUAAUAGUUAAAACUUUCAACAACGGAUCUCUUGGUUCUGGCAUCGAUGAAGAACGCAGCGAAAUGCGAUAAGUAAUGUGAAUUGCAGAAUUCAGUGAAUCAUCGAAUCUUUGAACGCACAUUGCGCCCUCUGGUAUUCCGGGGGGCAUGCCUGUUCGAGCGUCAUUAUAACCACUCAAGCUCUCGCUUGGUAUUGGGGUUCGCGGUUUCGCGGCCCCUAAAAUCAGUGGCGGUGCCUGUCGGCUCUACGCGUAGUAAUACUCCUCGCGAUUGAGUCCGGUAGGUCUACUUGCCAGCAACCCCUAAUUUUUUUAAGGUUGACCUCGGAUCAGGUAGGGAUACCCGCUGAACUUAAGCAUAUCAAUAAGCGGAGGAAAAGAAACCAACAGGGAUUACCUCAGUAACGGCGAGUGAAGCGGUAACAGCUCAAAUUUGAAAGCUGGCUCUUUUAGGGUCCGCGUUGUAAUUUGUAGAAGAUGCUUCGGGUGUGGCCCCGGUCUAAGUUCCUUGGAACAGGACGUCAUAGAGGGUGAGAAUCCCGUAUGUGACUGGGUGCUUUCGCCCAUGUGAAGCUCUUUCGACGAGUCGAGUUGUUUGGGAAUGCAGCUCAAAAUGGGUGGUAAAUUUCAUCUAAAGCUAAAUAUUGG
rnacentral:rRNA from 1 species